GACGAACGCUGGCGGCGUGCUUAACACAUGCAAGUCGAACGGAAAGGCCCUGCUUUUGUGGGGUGCUCGAGUGGCGAACGGGUGAGUAACACGUGAGUAACCUGCCCUUGACUUUGGGAUAACUUCAGGAAACUGGGGCUAAUACCGGAUAGGAGCUCCUGCUGCAUGGUGGGGGUUGGAAAGUUUCGGCGGUUGGGGAUGGACUCGCGGCUUAUCAGCUUGUUGGUGGGGUAGUGGCUUACCAAGGCUUGGACGGGUAGCCGGCCUGCGAGGGUGACCGGCCACAUUGGGACUGAGAUACGGCCCAGACUCCUACGGGAGGCAGCAGUGGGGAAUAUUGCACAAUGGGCGGAAGCCUGAUGCAGCAACGCCGCGUGCGGGAUGACGGCCUUCGGGUUGUAAACCGCUUCCGCCUGUGACGAAGCGUGAGUGACGGUAAUGGGUAAAGAAGCACCGGCUAACUACGUG
rnacentral:rRNA from 1 species